UUGGGGAGGAAACGACAAUGCGAGGCUUGAACACAAGACCUUCUUGGACCACCUGCUCAGAUACCAUAUUGAAAGGGAGACAAAUAAACACAGAACUUUAUGUGGAAACCUGUGUACCAGGAGAAAAACCACUAUAUUUUUCUUCUUAUUAUUUUUUGAUGAAAAAUACAAUAGGUACAAGGGAGAAUAAAUAGAAUAUACAGAGGAAUAAAAAAGGAAAAUAUUUAGGAAUUAAGAAAAAUAUUCCCAUAAACUUUUCAUAAAUAUUCUAAGAUUCUAACAAUAAAAAGUUCUAUUUAUUCCAAAUUGUGACUGCUCUAAUGUGCAGUUGUUUUCUGAUUCAGAUGAUUGAGGAGCUUGGUGGUUCUCUCACUGCUGAUGGGAGUACAAGCACUCAUGUCAUUACAGGAAAUUUGCGGAAAACUCUAAAUUUUUGUAUUGCUCUCUUUUCAGGAGCUUGGAUUUUCUCCUCCAGUUGGUUAAAGGAAACCUAACGGGAAGGCAGAUUUGUUGACGAGUUGCCUU